GCGUACGCCUGCUGCGGCGCGACAAGGUGCACGUGCGCGUCGAUGCCGCCCGCGGUCAGGAUGAGGUGCUCGCCGGAGAUGGCGUCGGUGCCCGGCCCGGUCACCAGUUCGGGCGUGACACCCUGCAUGAUGUUGGGGUUUCCGGCCUUGCCGAUGCCGGCGAUCUUGCCGUUCUUGAUCCCGACGUCGGCCUUGACCACGCCGAGGGUCGCGUCGACGAUCGUCACGUUGGUGAUGACCAGAUCCAGGCCACCCUCGGCGUUCGUGUACUGGUUCUGCACGCCCAUGCCGUCGC
rnacentral:sRNA from 2 species